GUCACAUACGGCUUAAACUCUGUGUUUCAUUAAAACGCAUUCAGUAUGGGCUUUCUUCGCCAACCCAAUAGCAGAGGUCCCUUUUGUCUUCAUCAACUCGAGGCCGAAAUUAGGGUUCAUACUCACGUUCAAUCUCCAUUGCCAAACAGUGUUCUUCUGUAUUGAAUGAGUUAUUUUGAAACUAUGAUGGCAGCCACCGUGAAUUAGAAGACUCACUUUAAAUCUCAGAUCCUCUUCCAUUCACCUUCACCUCCUCCUCCUCCUUUAGACGAUUCCAUUUCCUCAAGCCAUGCUCUUCCCUCAAACAAAUGAAGAAGCAACAAUCUCUUCGCCGUUCUCCGCCUUCUUCCACUGCCCCUCCUCCUAAGAGUCUCUGAUGGUUCUUCAAUCCCAAAUCCAGUGACGACGAUAACGGAGAUGAUGCCUACAUCCCCCAUGGCCGAGAGCGAUGACGGAUCAAAUGGGGAUGCUGCUAUCAAGGGUACGAUUUUCGCCGGAGUUUUGUUGAUUGGUACUGUUGGUGGAUUCGCCGGCGUUGGCUACGUCUACAGGGACCAGAUCAAUACGUUUCUCACUCAGUUCUCCACUUUCAUUGACGGUUCAAUUAACAUUGAAUCAAAUGAUUUCAGUGACAAUUGAUGCAUUUUAGGACAAGUUUUGAGAUCAGUUUCAGAAGCUGUCAUGAGUUUUGUCUUGACGGAGUGAAAACAUGUUAUGGUCCUCCUGGAUACCAGCCAUUCCGGCACUCCCGUUGACGCAAGUUGAGUUUAAUGAAUUUGGUGGAAGCUCAAUGUUGGCUACAACUCUUGCUUGGGACAAUGAACUGCCUUGGACGCUAGAGACUGCUAUUGAAGCACUUCAGGAGACUGUGCAUCAGGAUUCUUCUGUUGUAAGGAGGUUACGAAGGGGGUCUCUAGGAAUAUUUGUUUUUAGCAAGAAUCAUGUUCCCACUAAAGGAGUGCAUUACCUUGCUGUAGAGAAGGCUUUGGAGAUGAUUGAGCGAAAAUUUCAUCUAUUAGCAAGGUUGUGCUUUCACAGUUACACGUGUCUUUUUGUCUAAGAGUGAAGGGUGUGAUGCUUAUCAAUUCUGAUUGCAAGCACCUGGUGCACAAGCUUUUAUCGGGAACACGUUUGACGUCUAAAAUUACAAUAAUGGUCCACAUCCGCUUAUUUAAAACAGCUUCAUCAUUAUAAAUUACAAGACUACCAAUCGUUUGUUGAUUGUGAUGCUGCAAGAUUGUGUUUUUGUUUGUAUCUCUUGCAAUUUCCUCACAUAGCCCCUCUCAGGUUAUAUGCUUGGAUGGGUUGAUUUCGAAGGCUUUAAUUUCACAUGAUAGCCUGAGGUGAUUGCACCAGGUUUACGGCUUUAGAUGAUUGUUGUAUCCGUUCUUUAACCAUGGGAGAUUGUGUCAUCGGAGCUUCAUCAAUAUUUUUGGAAGCUUUGCUAUUAAUUUCAGAACAAACCUUCACAAAUUUGGGACAUAAAAAGGUCUGCAUUUACCUCCUGCAGUACCGUUUGUUAACAUGUGUCUUCCCGAGCCUUACUUUGUUGGUUUUGUGUAUAUCUGAGAGAAAGAUUAGCUUUACAGGAUAAUGAUCGAGGAGAGACGCCGUUGAAGCUUCUUAUCCAGUUUCAGACAUGGAGAGCUAAUAGCAACUGUUGAUGAAAUGAAAAAUACUAAGAAUAAAUAAAAAUAUAAAGGUGCCAACACGUCACUCUAAUGUUUUAGUAAUUACCUUUAGAUCAGGCUCUGUUUUCUUAAAUGAUUGUCUUGCAAGUGUUUUUCUUUAUUUCUGCAGGAUGAAAAGAAGUGUAUAACCGGCAGUUUUUGUGACAUGCUCUUCAUAGCACCGUCAGACAGGAGCUAAGGUUCAUAAUUUAAAAGAAACAAAACUUUCUCAUAUUUUUUACUUCAUAGUGGAAGAGUAUUAAGUCAGCCGUGAUGGUAUGUAGGGUUACUUGACUCCAUGUUCAGGGGAGACUCGCCUGCCUAUAUUCAAGCCCCCAAUGGAGGGUCUGGAGGAAAUAUCGACCAACCAAGUCAUUUAUUUAACAUUUACACCAAAAAAAACUCAUCGAAUGAUACUUUGAAGAUAGAAGGAAAACAGCAUCUAAUAGUUUACUUGAAGAUCAUAAUACUCCGGAGAAGAUACUAUUUCUUAUGUGUAUAUUUUAUUUUUUCUGACAUUAUAUGUUACACUAUAAAUUCUUUAGAUCAAUCUAUUGAACAAUUAUUUUA